GACCCUGAAGAGUCAGAAUGGUCUCCAUGGGUCCACCAGGCCCCACAGAGUCACAAUGGUCUCUGGGUUCCAUGAAGCCCCGCUGUGUCACCAUGGCCCCUUGGUUCCAUGGGCUCCAGUGGUGCCACAAUGAUCCCCUUGGUUCCAUGAGGUCCCUUCCCACAGUGUCCCAGUGAUCUCCAUGGGAAGGAAAGAACCAAGCCCCAGUGUUGCAGGGCAGGCAUCUGCUGAUAACAGACUAUUGAAUAUCACUGCAUGACUGAUAAGAACUACAGCAUCCCAUUGUGAGAUGAUCCAGCCAGAGGGAUGAGCCAAGCAUUCCUACCCAGAUACAAUCCUGUGCUUCUGGAACACCAGCAUGGCUUUCUCCACUGGAAUUCCCAGAGGAGCAGCUGCCUCUUCCACUGGAUCUUCAGAGGAAGACUACACCCUUUUCUACAGGAUCUGUGCUCCAACAGAACCACACCUGACACUCCAGGAGGACUGCAGCCACAUUUUCAAUUGGACUGCUACCAGCACCCUGACCAACAGGGUGUCGAGUUGUGUUCUGACUCUGUCAGUCUUAUUUUAGUUUACUGCAUUGUUUAUUUUAUCUUUUUAUUUUCUUCCCUAUUAAAGAACCGUUAUUUCCUGCUCCUGUA